GUAAAGCCCUUUUGUUGGGAAAGAAAUCCAGCCGGCUAAUACCUGGUUGGGAUGACGGUACCCAAAGAAUAAGCACCGGCUAACUUCGUGCCAGCAGCCGCGGUAAUACGAAGGGUGCAAGCGUUACUCGGAAUUACUGGGCGUAAAGCGUGCGUAGGUGGUUGUUUAAGUCUGUUGUGAAAGCCCUGGGCUCAACCUGGGAACUGCAGUGGAAACUGGACAACUAGAGUGUGGUAGAGGGUAGCGGAAUUCCCGGUGUAGCAGUGAAAUGCGUAGAGAUCGGGAGGAACAUCCAUGGCGAAGGCAGCUACCUGGACCAACACUGACACUGAGGCACGAAAGCGUGGGGAGCAAACAGGAUUAGAUACCCUGGUAGUCCACGCCCUAAGAAAUGCGAACUGGAUGUUGGGUGCAAUUUGGCACGCAGUAUCGAAGCUAACGCGUUAAGUUCGCCGCCUGGGGAGUACGGUCGCAAGACUGAAACUCAAAGGAAUUGACCGGACAAUCAAAGGAAUUGACGGGAACU
rnacentral:rRNA from 1 species